UGAUGGAGAUGAUAUGAAGAUGAA
rnacentral:miRNA from 1 species